GAUGAACGCUAGCGGCAGGCCUAAUACAUGCAAGCCCAGCGCUGUUUGGCGUAGCAAUACAUCAAACAACCGGCGGACGGGUGCGUAACGCGUAUGCAACCUACCCUAUACAGGAGGAUAGCCCUCGGAAACGAGGAUUAAUACUCCAUAAGAUUGCUUAGAGGCAUCUUUAAGCAAUUAAAGCCGCAAGGCGGUAUAGGAUGGGCGUGCGUCCGAUUAGCUAGUUGGUGAGGUAACGGCUCACCAAGGCGAUGAUCGGUAGGGGUUCUGAGAGGAAGCUCCCCCACAGGGGCACUGGGACACUGGGGCGAGUCAUACGGGAGGCAGCAGUAAGGAAUGUAGGAGAGUGGGUGAAUGCCUGAUGCAGCCAAGCCGCAUGCAGGAAGAAGGCGCUAGGGGUUGUAACCUGCGUUUGGGAGGGCGAAAUCAGGGCGAAGCGUCGCUCGAUGAUAGUACUUGGCGAAUAAGCAUCGGCUAACUACGUG
rnacentral:rRNA from 1 species